GAUGAACGCUGGCGGCGUGCCUAAUACAUGCAAGUCGAGCGAACGGACGAGAAGCUUGCUUCUCUGAUGUUAGCGGCGGACGGGUGAGUAACACGUGGAUAACCUACCUAUAAGACUGGGAUAACUUCGGGAAACCGGAGCUAAUACCGGAUAAUAUUUUGAACCGCAUGGUUCAAAAGUGAAAGACGGUCUUGCUGUCACUUAUAGAUGGAUCCGCGCUGCAUUAGCUAGUUGGUAAGGUAACGGCUUACCAAGGCAACGAUGCAUAGCCGACCUGAGAGGGUGAUCGCCCACACGGGAACGGAGACACGGUCCAGACUCCUACGGGAGGAACCAGUGGGGAAUAUUCGGCAAGGGGCGAAGGCCUGACGGAGCAAGGCGGGGGGAGUGAAGAAGGUCUUCGGAUCGUAAACCUCUUUAAUUGGGGAGAAACAUAUGUGUAAGAAACUGUGCACAUCUUGACGGUACCUAACAAGAAAGCCACGGCUAACUACGUG
rnacentral:rRNA from 1 species